rnacentral:lncRNA from 1 species
CUCCCGGUGCACUCUAAAUGAAUUGUUUUGUUGCUGAGUUGCCAUCGUCACUCUGGACCCAUAGCUACUCCAUCCCGAGUAGCCAUGGGCUUACCAUAGAAGGAACAAACUCUUAAUCUUAGAACUGCUUUAGGCAGUGGGCGUGAUGGUUAAAAACUCGGCCUUUGGCGUCGACCUCAGACGGAGAUCUACCAAUUAGGAAAUUAGCUGUGAUUUAGAAAAUUUAAUAUUUCGAUGCCAUACUUUCCUAAUCUGCAAAAUUUUUGUAAAUACCUGUGACCUAGUGUCGUGAGCGCUUAGCAACACCUGACACCCACUAAGCUCUCAGCCAGUGGUUCUGAAAGUGGUUCUAGACCAGCAACAACAGCAGUAGCAGCAGCACCUGUGAACUUGUUAGAAAUGCAAAGUUUCAGGCCCAUUCCAGUUCUACUGAAUCUGAAACUCGAAGGGAACAGCAACCUAUGUUUUAAUAAACCCCAAGACAGAAACAAUGUGUUACUACAUUUUUGUUGCUGGGGAAAAGAACUGACUUGAUGUACUUCCUCAGAAGAGAGACCGAACACCAGGAAAGAAAAUACAGAUUUCCCCAGACUCUACCUGCUAUCACCAUUUUGUUGUAAUACACCUUAACUGUGAGUAUAACUGUACGCUGCAUCCCAUGAGGCCUUCUAGUAAAUCACUGAACAUCAGGAUGGUCUUGAGGACCCUGACACACC